rnacentral:rRNA from 1 species
CCAAUAGUUUUGAUCCUGGCUCAGGACGAAACGCUGGCGGCGUGCCUAAUACAUGCAAGUCGAGCGGACAGAAGGGAGCUUGCUCCCGGACGUUAGCGGCGGACGGGUGAGUAACACGUGGGUAACCUGCCUGUAAGACUGGGAUAACUCCGGGAAACCGGAGCUAAUACCGGAUAGUUCCUUGAACCGCAUGGUUCAAGGAUGAAAGACGGUUUCGGCUGUCACUUACAGAUGGACCCGCGGCGCAUUAGCUAGUUGGUGGGGUAAUGGCUCACCAAGGCGACGAUGCGUAGCCGACCUGAGAGGGUGAUCGGCCACACUGGGACUGAGACACGGCCCAGACUCCUACGGGAGGCAGCAGUAGGGAAUCUUCCGCAAUGGACGAAAGUCUGACGGAGCAACGCCGCGUGAGUGAUGAAGGUUUUCGGAUCGUAAAGCUCUGUUGUUAGGGAAGAACAAGUGCGAGAGUAACUGCUCGCACCUUGACGGUACCUAACCAGAAAGCCACGGCUAACUACGUGCCAGCAGCCGCGGUAAUACGUAGGUGGCAAGCGUUGUCCGGAAUUAUUGGGCGUAAAGGGCUCGCAGGCGGUUUCUUAAGUCUGAUGUGAAAGCCCCCGGCUCAACCGGGGAGGGUCAUUGGAAACUGGGAAACUUGAGUGCAGAAGAGGAGAGUGGAAUUCCACGUGUAGCGGUGAAAUGCGUAGAGAUGUGGAGGAACACCAGUGGCGAAGGCGACUCUCUGGUCUGUAACUGACGCUGAGGAGCGAAAGCGUGGAAGCGAAGCAGAAC